UUCCUUUAGAAAUAAUUAUAGGUAAGGCCUGCUCCAUGAAUUUAAAUAGCUGCAGGAGACUGUACUAAGGUAGCAUAAUCAUUUGUCUUUUAAUUAUAGACUAGAAUGAAGGGUUUAACGAAUUUUUAAAUAUCCUUAUUAAAUGAAUUGAAGUUUAUUUUUAAAUAAAAAAGUUUAAAUAAAAUUUAGGGACGAGAAGACCCUAAAAGCUUAAUAUUAAAUUCUAAUUUAUCGAAUUUAAUAAUUUAGUUGGGGCAACUUAAUAAGAAGUAAAUCUUAAUUUAUGAUCCAAAAUUUUUGAUUAUAAAUAAAGUUACUUUAGGGAUAACAGCAUAAUAAAACUAUUCAAGAACAUAUUGAUUAGUUUGUUUGUGACCUCGAUGUUGGAUUAAUUUACCUAAAAGAGGAAUAAUAUUUUUAAGGUCGUCUGUUCGACGAGUAAUAAAUUACA
rnacentral:rRNA from 1 species